rnacentral:rRNA from 1 species
GACGAACGCUGGCGGCGUGCUUAACACAUGCAAGUCGAGCGGAAAGGCCACUUCGGUGGUACUCGAGCGGCGAACGGGUGAGUAACACGUGAGUAAUCUGCCCCCCACUUUGGGGUAGCCACCGGAAACGGUGAUUAAUACCGGAUAUGACCCUUGACCGCAUGGAUGUGGGUGGAAAGUUUUUCGGUGGGGGAUGUGCUUGCGGCCUAUCAGCUUGAUGGUGGGGUAAUGGCCUACCAUGGCUUCGACGGGUAGCCGGCCUGAGAGGGUGACCGGCCACACUGGGACUGAGACACGGCCCAGACUCCUACGGGAGGCAGCAGUGGGGAAUAUUGGACAAUGGGCGGAAGCCUGAUCCAGCAACGCCGCGUGAGGGAUGACGGCCUUCGGGUUGUAAACCUCUUUCAGUACCGACGAAGCGAAAGUGACGGCAGGUACAGAAGAAGCACCGGCCAACUACGUGCCAGCAGCCGCAGUAA